GUCAGGAUGGCCGAGCGGUCUAAGGCGCUGCGUUCANCCCCUGGAGGCGUGGGUUCGAAUCCCACUUCUGACA
rnacentral:tRNA from 1 species